UUCCUCCUUGAGGUGGGCCGCAUCACAAAGACGUUGGGCUCUCUGAAACAAACAUUUACCGACAGAGAGCAGUUGUGACGGGUGGUGGUGGGAUUCACCAUUGAGGUACCUAUCUGUGUGGGUUGCCUUUCUGUGUAUUGUGUGACCUAGUGUGCCAUCUGCUUUGCGUAUAAUUAAAAUGUC